rnacentral:lncRNA from 1 species
GGUAUCUUCCCAAAACAGUGAAAGACAUAUUAUAGUGACCCAUGCAUACCCAUGUUUAUAGCAGCACAGCUCAUGAUAGCUAAACCUUGGAAGAGGCCUGCAUGUCCAGUGGAUGAGUGAAUAAAGAAAAUGUGAUAUUCUUACACACUGGAAUACCACUCUGGAAUAAAGGAACAUAAAUUUGUUUCAUUUGCAGGGAAAUGGAUGCCCUUUGAGAUCAUGUUAAGUGAAAUAAAUCAGACACACAAGCUAAAUUAUCAUAUGCCUUCUUUUAUAUGAGAAAGCUGAAGUAUAAAACAGGAGCAAAAUAAAAGAUAGAUAAUAGGAAACAAGGAGAUAGAUCUUUUGCAUCUGGGAAGUGAUGUAAAAAGAAUGAAGAUGCGUUAUGUACAUGGACAACUCCACACGAGGAAUAUGAGGAAAAAUAAUGUGCUCGGUAUCAGAUACAUCCUAAGUCUUGCUGCUUGAUGCUUUGAGCGGUGCCUGACUCGGAACCCAGCGCUCCCCGAAUGCUGCCCUCCGCGGCUCCCCAGAGAUGGAGAGUCACAAACGCAACAGCAAACGUGAACUAGCACUUGUGUGUCUAUUUAGUUCUCGAGCUUCGUCAAAUAAAGAAGUGGUUAUAAAGAGUGGUAAGAGUUGUAAUAGUUCUACAGUACUUAGCGUGAUAUUGUCAUCCAACUGUAUUAAUAAACUGAUGACAUUGAGCCUUGGUACUCAUACCAGGUUUUAUUUGACAGAUCAACAGAUUAAUGGAGAUAUGCAGCCAAUGCAGAGUUUCACCCCAGUACCAAUCACACAGACUCCGCCGUGCAACCAGAGCAGAGGAGGAUGUGGAGACCGAGAACACGGGACUGCCUUCACCCCUCUCAAUCCCAUCUGUGUGUCCCUCAAUGGGGUCCCCUGCGUUCUCUUCUGGGCCAAAAGAAUCACAGUUACAUUUGAGAACCAGACCUGGCUGGACCUUACAGAGGGAGCGUUUGGUCAGAUGGUGGCAGUGGACACACACAACUCCAGCUGCAGUGAGGAAAGAGCCACGUUGUAUCUGAAGUUUGGUGAUACUGACAAUCCCGAAGCCCUUGAUAUGAGCUCCAAGGCUUUGCCGUCCAGGGCGGGCAGUUCGCCAAGGCCAGAGACUGCGCUGCAUCCUUCUCGCCGGCCGUCCUCAUCGGCCUGGCCAUGUCCCUCAUCCUGCUACUGGUGCUGGCCUACGCCCUGCACAUGCUCAUCUACCUGCGCUACCUGGACCGGCACUACGAGUGCGUUGCUGCCUCUCCCACGCGCUUUCCCCAGCUGCGGGCUCGAAGUGGCACCGAGGGGCAGGAGCUGCUCCGGAGCCAGGGCCCAGAGUGCUAUGAGCUGCGGGGCCAGCCGAUCUGCAAGAUCGACGUCUGACCUCUGAUGUUGGCCUCCCUCCUGCCCGAGUUCACAGCGGCCCCGGUGGGGCAGCGUCUCUCCUCUAUGCUGUCGGACUUGUAAAUGGCCUGGUUAAAACACACAAAUAUCAGAAAAGGCAAUGCACAGGGAGUUGGUCUUGAAGCAUCCCCUGGCCCACUUAGACGGACAUGGGCAAUGAGAAGGUGCUACAGGGGUCCUGCCUUGCCAGUGAAGGGAUCACUGGUCGGAGAGAUGACGGGGAGAAGAGAGGGGUGAAGACAAAGGAAAAUCUACCAGGUCCUCCUUGCCUGACUGAAUGUGUGUGUGAUAAGGACAGAAAUAAUAAACCUAAGGUUAUCUGCAAGUUCAGAAUAGAAUCUGCUUUGUCUGUUAGCAGAAAUUGUGUCCCAAUUUUUCUUAAAAAGUAGUCCUCUCUCCCUUCCAUCCAGCUGUGAGGACCGACUCGUGUCAGUGUGCUAGAGCACCCGUGAGGGGGUCUUCUUGUCACCUCUUGAGCUGCAGAAGCAACUCUGACCCCCUGUGUUGUAGGAGUGAGAGCCUCAGUUACAUCUGCU